GACCCUAAAAUUUAUUUGGAUGAUGCUUGGAAAAAGCUAUAAGAACCAUCUUCCUCGAUGAGCCACAAAAUUUUAACUGCAAUGAGCUUAUCAGCGCUGUUCAGAAAGCAUGGUGUUCAUGAAAGUCAUCAGGAGAAGCUCUUUACAAACUGAUCUUGGAGGAGUGUGAGAUAUAUAUCUCUGCAGCCAUACGAUCUUUAUAGAAUCGCAAUGUCAUGAUGAUCCCUCUGUUUUCCUGCCAUUCAUGGAGAAUUGUUGGCGCAAGUUGCAGUUUCUCUGUGACAUUGGUGGCCAAGGUCAGACAGUUGGUAAAAUCAUUGUGGGACUUGGGUGAGGAGCUUUUCCCCAAGAAUCUCUGACAAAGAUUUGCUACGAUUUUCCCAAGCAAUCUAUUAGGUAAGGAGCUUUUCCCCAAGCAUCUCUGAAGAAAUCUAUUGACAAGAUUUGCCUCUCUUGUUUCCUAGAAGACGCUUUGUUGGAGAAAACGGCCAAACAAUGUUUUAAGGAUCUUGAUUUGCCUAGGGAGGAAUAGAAACAGAGUCUCUUGACCUUGAGC